GGCAAGGCUAGGAUUACUAAGGGGAUUGUUAAUGGGAUACAUGAGAGGUGGGGGAGGACUGAGCUUGUGAAGAUUGUUUGUGAGGAUUUGUGUAGGUUGAAUAUGAAGAGGACUCAUGAUUUGCUUGAGAGAAAAACCGGGGGUCUGGUUAUUUGGAGAGCUGGAAGUAUCAUAAUAUUGUACAGAGGAGCUGAUUACAAGUAUCCUUAUUUCUUUAUUAAUAAAAAAA